rnacentral:rRNA from 1 species
AUUGAACGCUGGCGGAAUGCUUUACACAUGCAAGUCGAACGGUAGAGGGGGCAACCCCUCGAGAGUGGCGAACGGGGGAGUAAUAUAUCGGAACGUGCCCAGUCGUGGGGGAUAACGUAGCGAAAGUUACGCUAAUACCGCAUACGAUCUAAGGAUGAAAGCGGGGGAUCGCAAGACCGCGCGCGAUUGGAGCGGCCGAUAUCAGAGUAGGUAGUUGGUGGGGUAAAGGCUCACCAAGCCAACGAUCUGUAGCUGGUCUGAGAGGACGACCAGCCACACUGGAACUGAGACACGGUCCAGACUCCUACGGGAGGCAGCAGUGGGGAAUUUUGGACAAUGGACGCAAGUCUGAUCCAGCCAUUCCGCGUGCAGGAUGAAGGCCCUCGGGUUGUAAACUGCUUUUGUACGGAACGAAAAGGUCUCUCUUAAUACGGGGGGCUCAUGACGGUACCGUAAGAAUAAGCACCGGCUAACUACGUGCCAGCCGCCGCCGUAA